rnacentral:tRNA from 1 species
GCCGCCAUCGUCUAGCCUGGUCUAGGACACAUCCCUCUCACGGAUGGAACUCGGGUUCGAAUCCCGAUGGCGGUA